UACGAAGGGGGCUAGCGUUGCUCGGAAUCACUGGGCGUAAAGCGCACGUAGGCGGCUUCUUAAGUCAGGGGUGAAAUCCUGGAGCUCAACUCCAGAACUGCCUUUGAUACUGGGAAGCUCGAGUCCGGGAGAGGUGAGUGGAACUCCGAGUGUAGAGGUGAAAUUCGUAGAUAUUCGGAAGAACACCAGUGGCGAAGGCGGCUCACUGGCCCGGUACUGACGCUGAGGUGCGAAAGCGUGGGGAGCAAACGGG
rnacentral:rRNA from 1 species